AUACGGAGGAUGCAAGCGUUAUCCGGAUUUAUUGGGUUUAAAGGGUGCGCAGGCGGCCAUUUAAGUCAGCGGUUAAAUCGUGGGGCUCAACCCCAUUCUGCCGUUGAUACUGGGUGGCUUGAUUGCGGUCGAGGUUGGCGGAAUUCGUUGUGUAGCGGUGAAAUGCAUAGAUAUGACGAAGAACACCGAUUGCGUAGGCAGCUGACCAGACCGCAAAUGACGCUCAUGCACGAAAGUGCGGGGAUCGAACAGGAUUAGAUACCCUGGUAGUCCACACAGUAAACGAUGAAUACUCGCUGUUUGCGAUAUACAGUAAGCGGCCAAGCGAAAGCGUUAAGUAUUCCACCUGGGGAGUACGGCGGCAACGGUGAAACUCAAAUGAAUUGGCGGGG
rnacentral:rRNA from 1 species